rnacentral:misc_RNA from 1 species
GAUGAAGAACGUAGUGAAAUGCGAUACGUAAUGUGAAUUGCAGAAUUCAGUGAAUCAUCGAGUCUUUGAACGCACAUUGCGCCCCCUGGUAUUCCGGGGGGCAUGCCUGUCCGAGCGUCAUUGCUGCCCUCAAGCACGGCUUGUGUGUUGGGCCCCCGCCCCCCGGUUCCCGGGGGGCGGGCCCGAAAGGCAGCGGCGGCACCGCGUCCGGUCCUCGAGCGUAUGGGGCUUCGUCACCCGCUCCGUAGGCNNNNCCGGCGCCCGCCGGCGACCCCCCCUCAAUCUUUCCAGGUUGACCUCGGAUCAGGUAGGGAUACCCGCUGAACUUAAGCAUAUCAAUAAGCGGAGGA